GACGAACCGUGCGAACGUUGUUCGGAAUCACUGGGCUUAAAGGGCGCGUAGGCGGGUCAGCAAGUCCGGGGUGAAAUCUUCCAGCUCAACUGUAAAAGGGCCUUGGAUACUGCUGGUCUUGAGGGAGGUAGGGGCCAGCGGAACUUCUGGUGGAGCGGUGAAAUGCGUAGAUAUCAGAAGGAACGCCGGUGGCGAAAGCGGCGGGCUGGACUUCUUCUGACGCUGAGGCGCGAAAGCUUGGGGAGCAAACGGG
rnacentral:rRNA from 1 species